GAUGAACGCUGGCGGCGUGCCUAAUACAUGCAAGUCGAACGGAAAGGCCCUGCUCUUGUGGGGUGCUCGAGUGGCGAACGGGUGAGUAACACGUGAGUAACCUGCCCCUGACAUUGGGAUAACUCUAGGAAACUGGGGCUAAUACCGGAUAGGAGCUACUGCUGCACGGGGGGGGUUGGAAAGUUUCGGCGGUUGGGGAUGGACUCGCGGGUUAUCAGCUUGUUUGUGGGGUAGUGGCUUACCAAGGUUUUGACGGGUAGCCGGCCUGGGAGGGUGGCCGGCCACAUUGGGACUGAGGUACGGCCCAGACUCCUACGGGAGGCAGAGGUGGGGAGUCUUACACAAUGGGCGGGAGCCUGUUGCAGCGACGCCGCGUGCGGAAUGACGUCCUUCGGGUUAUAAACCGCUUUCGCCUGUGACGAGGCGUGAGUGACGGUAAUGAGUAAAGAAGCACCGGCUAACUACGUG
rnacentral:rRNA from 1 species